rnacentral:rRNA from 1 species
UACAGAGGGUGCGAGCGUUAAUCGGAAUUACUGGGCGUAAAGCGUGCGUAGACGGUCAAGUAAGUCGGGUGUGAAAGCCCCGGGCUCAACCUGGGAAUUGCAUUCGAGACUGCGUGGCUAGGGUGCGGAAGAGGGAAGCGGAAUUCCCGGUGUAGUGGUGGAAUGCGUAGAUAUCGGGAGGAACACCAGUGGCGAAGGCGGUUGCCUGGGGCUUUGCUGACGCUGAUGCGCGAAAGCGUGGGGAGCGAGCCGG